UGCCUAUCGUGAAUAGUGUGAAACAGUGGACCCCUGGAUCAAACCGUCUAUCCAAGAAAAUCGCAAAAGACCGAACCGUGGACCGGCUCUACCUCUACCCUGCUCUCCGCUAACAGUGUUGCAACCACAGGUCCCGUAUAAAAAGGGGCGCAAGGACACCGCUCAUUGUUUUAACUCUAGAGAAUUUUAACUUGGUUCUCCAUGCUGUCAUAAACCCUUAAAUCGUCCUCCAAACAGCCGGUGAUUGAGACAUCGGUUUUGUCCGUGUCUGAGCCGCCUGCAGAGACCGUUACUGUACAGCCGGAUGGAGGCAUUCAGCAUGUCCUUGGAGAUCCUCAGUAUGCACCACUACCAGAACUGACCGAUGAGGAUCUCGAGGGUCUUGCCGACAUUCCGUUGAGGCCCUCAUCGCUGUUGGAACAGCUCGACUUCACUCCCGCUCAUUGGAUAGACCCUCCAGCUACUUCCGUAGGGGGUACCGCCAGUGCAGAACCUGUAAACCAUCAGCCUGCAGCCCCCGCCUCUGGAUCACUACCCAUCAUCCAGGCCUCUAUCCACGAUCCGCCAGGCACUACUCGGCAUGAUGACCUUCGAGAUGGUCUUCCUGCUGGGCGGAACAUACCAAGGAUGGAGGGCCUUGGUAUAUGCCCUGAAGCCUGUGUCCUCCACCAUGGAAAAGGGCUGGAGGUCUUUGGCGUGUUCCUGAAGGUGGUGCUGAGGCUUGUGGUGCAGAGUUUGCAGCAGGAGUAGCAGGAGCAGCAGCAGCAGGAGCAGCAGCAGGAAC
ensembl:lncRNA